rnacentral:rRNA from 1 species
AUACGGAGGAUCCGAGCGUUAUCCGGAUUUAUUGGGUUUAAAGGGUGCGCAGGCGGCCAUUUAAGUCAGCGGUUAAAUCGUGGGGCUCAACCCCAUUCUGCCGUUGAUACUGGGUGGCUUGAUUGCGGUCGAGGUUGGCGGAAUUCGUUGUGUAGCGGUGAAAUGCAUAGAUAUGACGAAGAACACCGAUUGCGUAGGCAGCUGACCAGACCGCAAAUGACGCUCAUGCACGAAAGUGCAGGGAUCGAACAGGAUUAGAUACCCUGGUAGUCCGCACAGUAAACGAUGAAUACUUGUUUUCGGCGAUAUAAUGUCGGAGGCAAAGCGAAAGCGAUAAGUAUUCCACCUGGGGAGUACGCCGGCAACGGUGAAACUUAAAGGAAUUGACGGGG